CAAGCAUCCUUAAAGUCAAUCAAGGGAACCAUUUUGCUGUCGGCAUCAAGUAUUUUUACGAGAAACCAUGGGGGGAAAUACCAAAAUGGCAUAUGGCCAGACCUUUCAGAAGCACCUGCUCUGGACCAGGGUCAGAGGGAACCAUGGGGACACAGGUGGGGGCGAGGGGGGGGGAGGUGGGGGGAUUGCUUAUCCUUCACUCAAAGGCCUGGGGUUCACCUGAGUCCGAAGCUGGCCCUCCCGCAACAGGAGCCUCUCCUCACGGAAGUGGAAGGUGUUAAAGGCGUAGAAGUGAAAACCGUGUGGGAAGAAAGUGAAAAGCACCCUAGAAGCAACAGGGCCGCCCGUUUGCGCAAACGCUGUCUGUGGCCAUUUUUUCAAGCACUUAUGAUAAACUUGCUAAACGAAGAUAAAUAGAUGAACUGCUUUAAAACCUGUGGCUUAAGCUUUCGGGGCACCACGGGCCGGGAAGGGCCCUGCCUGUGCCCUGUGGCUCCCUCGGCCAGCCCGGGGGGCUCGGACCCGGGAUCUGUGUGCCCCAAAUACCGGGCCUUCCAACCAGAGCUGCGGUGCCCUCACGAGGCAUUUCUGAAACCCAGCCAAGAACCAGAAAUUACAGAGUUAAAAAGCACACAGCUUAAAGAAGGAGCGGAUUCAGAUUCUCAUUUACUAAAAUUAGUCCAAUGACAAAGUAGGCGGCUUCUACGCCCUUUUCUCUUACUCAUCAAAGUGAUUAAGCUUCACACAGACCCUACAGACGGGAUUCUUUGUCCCAUAUUCCAGUCACAAAAGACAAUGGGCUACAGAUGGAAGAACCCAGAUUUUGUAGAGCCUGAAACCCUGAGGGCGAAGGCCCCCAGCAUGUGGGCGGCACCCCGCGGGCUGACCGUGCUGUUCUGACUCCCCGCUGAGGGUGUCUUUGUCGCGGGCUCUGACGUCCGCGGGUACAGCGGAGCAGCAGGGCGCGCAGGGCGGUUAUGCCUUCACCGACACACACCCUAAAAGCCAGGCCCGGAUCUAUUCUCAGCUCAAGCUUAUUCCGCCAAAGGCUUAUUACCCCGACCGACCUGCAGCCUGAGCCCCCACAGAUGCGCCACCACGCCCUCCAGAGUCCUGCCCGGAGCAGAGACGUGUGACGCCAGGCGUGGUCACCUCACCCAGGACCCACCCCCACUGAGAUCUGGGUGCGGGGGCCUGCGGGACAGAGGAGCCCUUGGCAGAUACAGCCCUGGGGGCGGGGCCCUGCUGGGGGCCGGGGAGGGCCUGGUGCAAGGGUGUGUGCAGCCGCCCAGGGUAGGGGACACAGCACCACAGUGAUCUGAAGGGUGACCACCCCACCCCACCCCCGCCAAGAAAUGUUCCGGGUCAGUCAAGACGUGAGACACGUCCUCCAGUCGCCGCGCAAGCGACUGCCCAGCAGUCCAAAGCAUUCAUGCUGGACGUGCCAGGAAGUCACCGAGGCGCGGGCUCGCUGCGGGGACAGCCCUGGCCCAGUGGCACCUGCUCUCCGUGCCGGCUAACAGACACCGCCAGCCGAGCGCGCGAGGGCUUCGGAUGGAGUCUGCCUCUGCAGACGACCGGGGACUCAGCGAGACAGGGGCCAUCAGGGGACCGUGAGGCGCGACGCCCCGGACCAGAGCGGAAGCACAGAAGUGGCGAGAACUGGCUGGACUGGCACUUAUACAAAGCUGGAACGGGAUCUGGGGAGCUGGAUGCAGAAAGACAAGACUUCAUGUUUCAGCCCGGGGCCCUUGGGUGAGGACCCAGAGCCGCCCCCUGGCCUCGUGCGCGGCAGCCCCGCCGGGAGCCCGGCAGUGGCUUGUGUCAGAUGCUCCGCGUUCUUGACCUGAUGUUGGUUACACUGGAGUUUCUAUGGAGAUGAAAGACGCCGGGCACGGUCUGCAGCACUUCCAGGAGUGACCCAAGGUGUCCGCGCCCCCACGCGCCCCCUGCCCCCACCCUAGCCCCGGGCAGAUGGCGCAGUCACGAGGGUCAUCGGCGCCAGGUGUCGGUCACCAGUGCAGCGGGACUCUCGGCAGAUCCCGAGCUCCUCCUCGCACUGACCCCCACCCUGGUGGCUGCUCGCUGUGGGGGUGACCGCGGCAGGCAAAGUGCACGGCUAUGGGAGGUGGUGGCCGAGGGGGCUCUGCAGGGCUGCAGCGAGGAAGGCUGUCUGGCCCUGGCCCCAGAACCCUAGAAUCGGGCUUUUCCGGGAAAACCAGAGACAGCCUUGGCUCUGAGGCCCCUGAAGUGGCCAAUGCUGCUCACAGGGGGCCCCCCGGCCCGGAGAGAAGGGAGACAAGGCCCUGAUCUUCCUGUGCUGUCCGCACCAUGACCUGUCCUUCCCUUCCCCACCGCCCCCCCACCCCCAACGGCUUCAUCUGUCCCGCGAUGGACAUGCACAGGUGGCCCACCGUGCCCCUGGAUCUGGACCCUACCGGGAGGGGACAGCACAGUCCCUCAUUUCCUCAGCAGCCUAGCCAACCAGUGGGGCCAGCACCCAGAUCCCGCCCUCAUAAACGGAGGCCCUGGCAGCCACUGGUGCUGACGGAGACGCUGUAGGGGAGAGAUGGGCCAGGCUCCCGUGCAGGGGGAGGUGGGCCAGGGGUCCCCAUUAACUGGAAGAAGAAAACCGAGAUAGAACGAAGUUUGUGGAAGUAAAGAAAUCUCCCCGGUGUUAGUUCCUAGGGCUCCCCAGGUCGGAUCGGACACAGGCUGGACCCCACCCCCACCCCCACUUUCUGUGGAGUCAGGCCGUCCAGACAGGGGCCCAGCACCACACUGGGUGCCCUCGGCCUCCGUUCACACCAGCUGUUCACCUCUGUGGAAAGGCCGAGCAGGGCACAGGUCCCCCCGGUGCGGACUGACCUCAUCGUAGCGGUACAUCAGCUUCAGCCCUCGACAGGACUUCUGCUUCUCCACGUGGCGCAGAGCACACUCCAGGCAGAAAACCACGUUCUCGUUCUCCUGCACGACCUGUGGGAACAGCGGCGGCCGGUCCUGAGGUGCGGAAGCCAUCGGGCCCCCCCCACCCCCCCGAGGGAGCAGGGGCAACUCAGGGAGGCCCGACCCCGGCUAAAGUCCCCUCCCGAUCUCUGCUGCCCCUUCCCAGGAGGGGUUCUCGCCAGCGACAGGCUGGAGGAGACAGGAUGAGACCGUGGUGCCGCUGAUAAGCUCUCAGGCACUGGGCCUUCCGGGACCCUGUGCACACAAACCACCUGGGGAGAAGAUGUGGCAGGGUGACCGGGAAACGCACCCCGAACAUUUCAGCGGCGUGAUCGAUUCUGCUGGUUACCCAGAGGCUGCCCCCCCGCACGCCCCUGGGAGACCCGAUGCCUCUGCCCGAACCUGCCCCGAAACUCCAACUGCCUCCUGGGUGAUCUGCAAGUCGGACAGGCCCCGACCCCCUGCCAGCCUGUGGGAAAGCCUCUGGCAGCGGGAAGCGCACACCAGGGCCUGGGGCCCAGGGUCCCUGUAGGCAGCACAGGGCCUGAUCCGCCACAGACAUGAAGACUUGGGGGUGGGGAGGGUGCAGAGGGACAGCUGGUUUGCAUGGGGGCCCUCCCCCUGUCCCCGUCCCCCCAACUUCUAGUCCUGGUCUCAUUUAGAAGGAAAUUCGGGAAAAUGCUGCCUUCACACACAAGACGCGAGAGGUUCACAGGCCUUUUCAUGAAGACUGAGGAGAAACAGCCAGCCGCGGGAGUAAGGAACUGACACUUAAGGGAAGAAACCCAUCGCCUUUUAAAGACACUCAGGCUCAGGACAGGAAUAAGCAAAAGGAGGAAACCAUAAACAAAAAUACAAUCUUAUUACUAAUCCAAGCACUGAAAGUUGUGAAUCAAAAUAAAAUCUCAAUUUUUACCUAUGAAUUCAGGAUGAUACAAGCUUUCUUUUCUAAGUAACUUAAUAUUAAGUUUUUUAUUUAUGUGAGAGAGAGAGAGAGAGAGAGAGAGAGAGAGAGAGAGAGAAAGCAAGCGUGAGCAGGGGAGGGGGCAGAGAGAAGAGAGAAAAAGGAGACAGGAUCCCAAUCAGGCUCCACAUGGUCAGCACAGGGCCCUACUUGGGACUCGAACUCAGAAACCGUGAGACCAUGACCUGAGCCGAAAGCGAGAAUCAGAUGCUUACGGAGGCACUGCAACGUAGGCUUUCUUAAAACAACAGUCAGGCUGCUAGGAAAUGCCUAGUGACAGCCUGAAAACAAACCCACGGGAACAGGCCAGUGCCCCGCACGGAGGUCGUGACAGUGCUGUUCAUGGUCGUGGGAAGUAACGGGACACUUUCCCACGGGCGUAACUGCGUUCCAACACAAGAGGGACGCCCACGGGACUAUGUGGCUUUUAUGAGCCAAGCUCACAAAGCAUUUUUAAGACCCGGGGAAAUGCUUAUGCUUUUCUUUCUCUCAGAGAGCAUGGCUCUUGAUUUUCUCUCUUUAGAAACACCUUGGAAAAGAAAAACUAAGGCGGAAGAAAACACAGAUCUUGCUGGACUUCUAAGAGGGCUACACCCGGAUCGAGCCGCUGAGAGCUGAAAACCUCCUAAAGCUGAAACUGCACGUUAGGCAGCUAACCUCCCGGACAGCACAGCUCGGCCGGGCCCCCCUGACGCGUGCUCCCGACAGCAGUCUACGCUGGGCCAAGUUCCGCAGCACAAAGCCUAUGUGACAAGACACCGCUGACUGUCCCGUGUGACUGCUUAAACGCCGUGCUGAACGUGAGGCCAGAAGGGCUGCAUGGGGCAGAGCUGUUGCGAGAGAAUCGGCCAUUCAGCCUCGUGACUGCAGAGCUGGCUGGGAGCCGCGGUCACCGCUGCUCUGCGUCACACGGGGGACCCCGUGGCACAUCGCGGGGGGGUGAGGGCGCGGCUCUAAAGUAAAAAUCCGAGUACAGUUUCCACUAAAUGCCUACCAGCUUUGGACCAUCGUAAAGUGGAAACGUCCUAAGUUGGGAAGCAUCCGUGUGCACGUGUGUGGCCGCCGUGGAUGCCACUCUAUCCCCCCAACUCCCCGCGCCCCCAAUCAGCCUUUGGACUCCAUGGGAGCAGCUGGGGGUCCCCCACCUCUGCAGGGCACCCGGCCGAGGGCUGGGGGACACGGGGUGAGGCGGCAUCCUCCAGGCACGAGGCCAGGCGGGGGACAGGGGUGUGCCUGAUGCCCCGUGCCUCGGCGACCACGUGGGACGUCAGUGCCACGGCGGGUGUGAGGACACUAAGCUCCAGUCACUGGAGGGCCGUGGGCACCAGGCAGAGGUGCACGGUGUCUGGACAGCCCUGUGUGGGGGCGGCCACCCCGACGGACCACACCAGCCCGGCGGCCAUUCCCCUGAGGUGUCCGAGCCCCGCUCUGGCCUGGGACGGCCGUGGGGAGACACAGUGACCGCACGAACACGGCUAAGCCCAGGGCUGGGCGGGCCGGGGACACCGGCGGGGACUCUGUGGAAGCCAGCGAGGACGAAAGCGGGGCGGACGACCGCAGGAGCAGCAGCUUCCGCCAGAGGCCAGGAGGCUGGAAGCAGGGCUGCUCCGCUGCGGGGACUGUCCGUUCUGACCCAAGACAGCCCCAACUCCGCAGGGCAGCGCACUGGACCCUGACCCCGAGGCAAGAGCCGAGGACGCGCGGGGCCCAGGC